rnacentral:tRNA from 1 species
UGGCGCGGUAGCUCAGUCGGUAGAGCGUCCGCCUGAAAAGUGGAAGGUCACCAGUUCGAUCCUGGUCCGUGCCACC